UUCAAGCGCGCUAGCCUAAAAGUGCCAGUGGGACGCGGAAUGCGGAAUCAGGUAUCGGCGUGAACCGCUAUAGAGACAAUUUUGUUUGCAGGCGGAUCAGUUAGCAGACGACAACAGACGAGCGACCGCCAUAUUUGCCUUAUUGUGACGACACCUGAUGAACCUUUCGGCCAGGACGAACCACCAAUUGCGCUUUAUGCCGGUUCGGCUCCAUUGAUAUUUAUCCUCAGAACAUCAGUUCUCUCAUGCGCUUCUCUUGCCGAACGCUCACCGUAAGCUUCAGAACAGCACUGAACGUUCGCCUGUGAAGUACGAAGUGCUGCUGAGCUGAGCUUAUCCCAAGCAGGAAUCGAACCCCGAUCGGACGCCGUCCUAAUAUCACUUGGGUUCACCGAACGAAGUGACAUCAAAGUUAGCGUGACCGUCUGGAAGCCAGUUUGCCUUUGGACCCUUUUGAGCUGCACCGGAGCACUAUAGAGUUACGACUUGGAGUGACCCUUGUUUCCGUUCGUGAGGCACUUCAAGGCACUUCGAGG